ACCUCAAAGAAAAGACUCAACAGGCUUUCUGGACAUCAAAUAGUUCCUACAAAACAACAUUCUGAUGACUUGCAUGUAAAGAAAUCAGAAACAUAUGAAUUAAGCUUCUCUCGAAAUACAUAUGGGUUGAAAAAUAGAGAGAAGUGCUGAGAAAAUGUGUUUUGGGUUUUGCUGAGCCCAUGACGUUUGAAAAAUAGUAUGAGACAUUGAACAAACACAAAGCAUGGCUUGGCUCACCCAUUCCUAAUAUUAGCCUUCUAGUUCAACGGCAAAUCAGUUUACCAUGUGCCUAAAUGUGAGCCACCUUGGUGCACUCCCCCACACUUAAUUAUAUGCAGUUUAAAUUUUUUCAAUUAGGAGCUCAAAAAUAACAUUGCAUUUCAAGGAAAUGCAAAUCUUAGCAUUUUCUUACCUGGUUUGUUCACCUCAGACCAUUUUAGAAAACACCACAGAUUAUUUCACCUUAGGAGCAGUCACACUGAUGUGGCCCUCUUUGAUGUGGCUGGCAUAUAACAGAAGAAACGUAUCAUUUUUAAGAAACUGGCUCCAAAGACAAUAUUGCUAUUAAAUUGAAGCCAAAAACCACUGCAGGUAAAACAUGAUGAAGAUGAAGGACGCCCUCUCUUAGCCAUAUAGUAGAAGCCCGAUCAUAGACUCUCACCCUUACACCAUGACUUGAGUUCCUGCUCAUUUUUAUCCCUGAGCUCUGCAGACUUCUAAGCAGUGGAAGUUUUCAUUCUCUUUCCCACAUUGCACUCAAGAGAGCUAACAUGAGAGAUUCUAAAUCCUGGGAUUCCUCUGCAUCUGGCUUUAAGUACAGGAGCAGAACACAGGGAAUUUAAGGAACAAAAAUAGCCAGAGCUUCAGGCUUCUUCCACUGAUGGUAAGUCAUUGACAUGCACUUGGAUGAAAUCCUGUAUCUGUUCUUUGGACUAGCACUAUCGCCUGAGAUUAUCAGUUUCAGAGAGUUACAGAGAGGCAGUAGAUUUCAUCUUUCCUAUUUCAGGAGGAGUUAUUUUGGUUGUUUAAAAAAAAAAAAAACACUUUAAUGUACUUUUCCUAACUCCUUCACUCAGAUGGUGCCCUAUUAAGGAGUUGAGAUUUUAUCAUGAAUGUGACGAGGAGCCUUUCAAAUGGGUAUGCCUGAGAAGUAAUUGAAUUUAAAAGUCAAGACGGAUAGGAGGACCUGGAAAACUUAGAGUCAGAGAAGCCAAGGGAGGCAGAUCUGACCAGAAGGAGGAAAUUGUCAACAGUGUCAGAUGUUGCUGAAAGAUAGAAGUGACAUUUGGCUGCAGCAUCCAGGAGGUCUUGAGCAGUUUCAUUGAAGUAGUGAGUGUGGAAGGAAGGUAAAGAAGUGGAGAACAGGCAUUGCAAGAUAAUUUUCCAUCAUCGUCAUCAUCAUCGUCCUCAUCACCGGAAAAUGAGCAUCAAUUAUCUUAUCUACCAGACAUAGAGAGUGACCAGGUAAGGAAUGACACACCUGCAGCCUGGGAGAUUUCAGAAAACAGAUCAUAAAUAUAAAACAGAAGACAGCAACACAUGGUACAACACAUGCAAAGGGCAAAAUGAGCAGUGUAGGCCAACGGGAUGAAGAACAGAAAGAAUUAGGGGGCAGGUGAAAUGGGAGAGUUUUUCAAGCAGUCAGUGCGCUUGAGGUUUGCAUUCUGGAUUGUGCCUCCUUAUAAGUCAGUCCAACCUGUUUUUGAUUCUCCAUCCAGUGGAAAUAGGAAACACCAUCAAAGAUGAUGCAUAGUCUUAACUUGCCUGUGACUUCUGAUUAUGUUUCCGAAUUUUGGGAGGAAGAUUAAAGUCAUAAACUGACUCUUGGUUUGUUAUAAUUUCUUGCAACUGUUAUUUUAAAAAUCCGGACACAGGCCAAGGCAGGAGGAUUCUCUGAGGCCAGGAGUUUGAGACCAGCCUGGGCAACAUAGUGAGACCCUGUCCCUACAAUAAUAAAAGUAAAAUAAAAAGAAAAUCUGGAUGCAGAAACUGAGGUGUAGAUAAAUAUAGCAAGUCAGAGAUAUUCGUAAAUUCUACAUCGAUGAGUUUCUUGAGAAAUUCUGCACACCCAGUGCUGGACAACUGUGGAAUUGCAGCGUGAUACCUUUCACAUCUGGGUCAUCUCCAUAUGAUAUCUUCUUCCUGGUACAAGGCCAGAAGUUCACCCCACGCACAACACCUAUGGAAGCCACUUACGAUUCAAAGGACAGUUUUUCUGAAAAAGGGUGCAUGAUGUAUACUUCCCUUCAACACUAAAAUUCUGCUGCUUAAACUUUGUAAGUGAAGGAAAGGACUGGUUCUCUUCUACUUUGGCUGUCUUCCUUGUUUCCUAUUUAUUGGGUGCUUGCUUUGGGCAACCCAUUGUAUUGGAUGUGCUCUAAACCACAAUCUUUGCUCCUAAGGAGUCCGUAGUAUUUAUCGGGGGAUACGACCUGGAUAAUUCAUAUAAGAUAUGAAUUUCUUUCUUUUUCUUUUUUUUCUUUUUUU
rnacentral:lncRNA from 1 species